rnacentral:rRNA from 1 species
CUUGAACGCUGGCUGCAGGCCUAACACAUGCAAGUCGAACGAGUUGCGGACGGGUGAGUAAUGUCUGGGAAACUGCCUGAUGGAGGGGGAUAACUACUGGAAACGGUAGCUAAUACCGCAUACCAUCGGAUGUGCCCAUAUGGGAGUAGCUAGUAGGUGGGGUAACGGCUCACCUAGGCGACGAUCCCUAGCUGGUCUGAGAGGAUGACCGGCCACACUGGAACUGAGACACGUUCCGGAUGCCUACGGGUGGCAGCAGGGGGGAAUAGUGCACAAGAGGCGCAAGCCUGAUGCAGCCAUGCCGAGUGUAUGAAGAAGGACUUCGGGUUGUAAAGUACUUUCAGCGGGGAGGCGUUACCCGCAGAAGAAGCACCGGCGAACUACGUGCCAGCAGCCGCGGUAAUAC